UAAUACGUAGGGGGCAAGCGUUGUCCGGAUUUACUGGGCGUAAAGCGCGUGUAGGCGGAGACGAAAGUCCGGUGUGAAAGCCCCCCGCUCAACGGGGGAAGGUCGCUGGAAACUGCGUUUCUUGAGGGCGGCAGAGGGAAGUGGAAUUGCUGGUGUAGCGGUGAAAUGCGUAGAUAUCAGCAGGAACACCCGUGGCGAAGGCGGCUUCCUGGGCCGCGCCUGACGCUGAGACGCGAAAGCGUGGGGAGCGAACGGGAUUAGAUACCCCGGUAGUCCACGCCGUAAACGAUGGUCACUAGGUGUAUGGGGUAUCGACCCCCCAUGUGCCGCAGCUAACGCAAUAAGUGACCCGCCUGGGGAGUACGGCCGCAAGGUUG
rnacentral:rRNA from 1 species